rnacentral:rRNA from 1 species
GACGAACGCUGGCGGCGUGCUUAACACAUGCAAGUCAAGGGGGCCCGCAAGGGUAACCGGCGAACGGGUGCGUAACACGUGAGCAAUCUGCCUCGAUGUGGGGGAUAGCCGGCCCAACGGCCGGGUAAUACCGCAUACGCUCUCUGGGUGGCAUCACUUGGAGAGGAAACAUUUUUUGGCAUUGAGAGGAGCUCGCGGCCUAUCAGCUAGUUGGUGGGGUAAUGGCCUACCAAGGCUUUGACGGGUAGCUGGU